AAUAAAAAAAAGAAGCAAACCCAGAGAUUUCAAGGUUACACAUGGGAUCAAAGAUUUAGAGCUAGAAAGAACCUUUUAAUUUUACAGAUGAUGAACCUAAGGCUCAGAGAAGUUAGGGGGCUAGCCUAAGAUCACCCAAAUAGAGUAAGUAAUAUAAUCAGGAUUUGAAGUCAGUUUUUCUAUUCCAAAUGCAUUACUUUUCAGUUAAUUAGCAUUUUUUUGGAUUUUUUUAUCUUAUUGUAAUAAGAAAUGGGAGAGAGCGAGAAGGUAACGAUUCUGGAAAAGAACAUCUGCUACCUAAAUAAAUUAUGUCCCUGCUAGAAAAAUAAAGAUGUGUUCCUUUGAUUAAUCAAGGUCAAGUUGGAUCCUGAACCAAUUUUGAAAGAAAAUCCCAAAGGUACUAGAUCUUCCCUUGCGGGGAUACUUGCUAUCUCCUGUAAAAGCUAAGCUGCUCUCGUAUUGGAAUUUCCCCGGUAGCCAGGAGCUUCCAGGGUAAUAAUCUUGGCCUCUGUCCAGGUGAGAAUGGUUAUUGCUUCACAUUACAUUAAUCUGUUUCUUGCCCCCACUCACAGGUUUACAUUGGACACUUUCAGCUGACCUCAGGGUCUAAAGAUCCAUGUAGCCAAUAUAUCUUGGGAGAAUAAACACUUCCUGUUGGUCCAGACCACAUCCACAAAACUACAUAUGUAUGCCUUCGAGGCUACACAGUGGUGCUGAAAGCUGGAGAACAAUGAGAGCUUUCUGCACUGUGAGAUUGGCCAGACUGGGUACCUUACUUGCAUGGAGCUCACAUUUCCUACCUUCCUGAGAAGCUGUAGGGAAAGACACAGCAAGCCUUUUUUUUUUAAAGAUGGCAUCCAGGAAUGAAAGAAAAUGAAAGUGGUCAAUAAUCCUAUACAAGAACAAAACAAAAAAUCUUCAACAAUGAAAUUCACUAAAAAGGAGAAAAUCAAUGAGUUUGACCAAGAAUGAGCAAGAAUGGACAAGUUGAAGUGUCCUGCAUACAAGGAAGUAGGCUUGGGUUUAAGUCCCAGCUAUUCCACCUAGUUAAGUCAUUUCUCUGAGACUCAAUUUUAUUUUUUUAUUUUUAUUACCUGACCCCAAAAAUAGGUAUAUAAUUAAAACCUACUUAAUUUUUCUUGCAGGAUUGCUAUGAGAAAAGCACCUUAAAAUGGCAAAUUGCUGGAUAAAUAUGGUUAACCAGUGCACUAAAGUGAGUGAUAUCCAAGCCCACCUGGCUCUCAAUGAAAAUUAAUGAUAACAGAAUAAGCCAAACAGGGACUGAUCACUUAACCUCCUCAGCUCCAGGAUCCUACGCUUCUUCUCAAAUACAGUUUGUGGGGAAAGGAAGAUGGUCCAAUGCAAGGCCCUGAGAUAUGUGUAUUUGUAGAGAGUCCCCAACAGAAGGCAACUAUGUUUUAAAUCUGUCACUGGCCAAUAAAGAAAUUAGAAGCACCACAGUUCAGAUACCAAAAUAUUCGCCCAUCUUGAUUUUCAUGGCAUAAGAACAUGAUACACUGAAAACACGCUAAGAAUUGUGUAAUCUCAGUGGGAUGCAAUGAACAAUGGAAUAGUCCAAGACAAGAUUACCAAUGACCAACAGACUGCAGACAUUUAAUAAGGUACACAUCUCAUUUAGAAACUCUGGGGAAGUACAAGGCAUUCUGUAUGAGGCACGAUUCAAUCCAGCAUUCUUUUCCCUGCAUACCCCUCGGUUCUGGCUGAAAAGGACUUCUGGGGUCCAGGAAAUUGACUGUGUCAUAGUCAUCAUCAUCAUCAUCAUCAUCAUCCUCAUCAUCAUCAUCAUCCUCAU